rnacentral:rRNA from 1 species
AUGAACGCUAGCUACAGGCUUAACACAUGCAAGUCGAGGGGCAGCAUUUCAGUUUGCUUGCAAACUGGAGAUGGCGACCGGCGCACGGGUGAGUAACACGUAUCCAACCUGCCGAUAACUCGGGGAUAGCCUUUCGAAAGAAAGAUUAAUACCCGAUGGUAUAAUCAGACCGCAUGGUCUUGUUAUUAAAGAAUUUCGGUUAUCGAUGGGGAUGCGUUCCAUUAGGCAGUUGGUGAGGUAACGGCUCACCAAACCUUCGAUGGAUAGGGGUUCUGAGAGGAAGGUCCCCCACAUUGGAACUGAGACACGGUCCAAACUCCUACGGGAGGCAGCAGUGAGGAAUAUUGGUCAAUGGGCGCAGGCCUGAACCAGCCAAGUAGCGUGAAGGAUGACUGCCCUAUGGGUUGUAAACUUCUUUUAUAUGGGAAUAAAGUGGCCUACGUGUAGGCUUUUGCAUGUACCGUAUGAAUAAGCAUCGGCUAACUCCGUGCCAGCAGCCGCGGUAAUACGGAGGAUCCGAGCGUUAUCCGGAUUUAUUGGGUUUAAAGGGAGCGUAGGUGGACAGUUAAGUCAGUUGUGAAAGUUUGCGGCUCAACCGUAAAAUUGCAGUUGAUACUGGCUGUCUUGAGUACAGUAGAGGUGGGCGGAAUUCGUGGUGUAGCGGUGAAAUGCUUAGAUAUCACGAAGAACUCCGAUUGCGAAGGCAGCUCACUGGACUGCAACUGACACUGAUGCUCGAAAGUGUGGGUAUCAAACAGGAUUAGAUACCCUGGUAGUCCACACAGUAAACGAUGAAAACUCGCUGUUUGCGAUAUACAGUAAGCGGCCAAGCGAAAGCAUUAAGUAUUCCACCUGGGGAGUACGCCGGCAACGGUGAAACUCAAAGGAAUUGACGGGGGCCCGCACAAGCGGAGGAACAUGUGGUUUAAUUCGAUGAUACGCGAGGAACCUUACCCGGGCUUAAAUUGCAUUUGAAUAUAUUGGAAACAGUAUAGUCGUAAGACAAAUGUGAAGGUGCUGCAUGGUUGUCGUCAGCUCGUGCCGUGAGGUGUCGGCUUAAGUGCCAUAACGAGCGCAACCCUUAUCUUUAGUUACUAACAGGUCAUGCUGAGGACUCUAGAGAGACUGCCGUCGUAAGAUGUGAGGAAGGUGGGGAUGACGUCAAAUCAGCACGGCCCUUACGUCCGGGGCUACACACGUGUUACAAUGGGGGGUACAGAAGGCAGCUACCUGGUGACAGGAUGCUAAUCCCAAAAGCCUCUCUCAGUUCGGAUCGAAGUCUGCAACCCGACUUCGUGAAGCUGGAUUCGCUAGUAAUCGCGCAUCAGCCAUGGCGCGGUGAAUACGUUCCCGGGCCUUGUACACACCGCCCGUCACACCAUGAGAGUUGGGAAUACCCGAAGCCUGUGAGCCAACAGUUAAAUGAGGCAGCAGUCGAAGGUAGAAUCAAUGAUUGGGGUG